GAUGUCACCCCGCUCUUCCACCAAGGCACCUGCAAGUUUACGGACAUUUCUGUGAGGAACACUGACAUUCCUGCCUUGCAGGAAUUCACACACAGAACGAGACUUUAGUCCCUCUCUUAUCAUGCGCCUGUCCAGUUAAGUUGUAGAGAGUGUGGGUGCUGUGAGAAACUCAGCCUCCACAAACAGGCUGGUAUGUUGGGGUGGCCUGCUUUCAUAUAGUUUGGGUGCUGUGAGAAACUCAACCUCCACAAACAGGCUGGUGUAUUGGGGCAACCUGUUCUGUCCUCAGUAUUUCAGACCAAAGCAUGACCAUUUUAAAGAUAUGGAUCUACAAACAGUAUCACACUACCCGGCAAUACAUGGAUGUGUGCACUGCACUCAUUCAAAAGUACUCCUCGUUGAGAGACCAGACAGGGAAGGGAUAUCUCCCUCUCUCCAGCACUCGUCGCAGGUCUACUAACCACCGGCCCUGGAAACCAUUAUUACAGCACACUUGCUCCCCAUCAUUACGCACACCUGGACUUCAUCACCUUGAUUACCUUCCCUUUAUUUAGCCCUCAGUAGCCUCAGUCAUCAGGCAGUAUUGGUUUGUGUUCACGUUCAGUACGCGGCUCCUAUUUGGUUUAUUUGUCUUUUUAUCAAUAAAUACUCACCUUAUGCACCUGUGAGUGUCUUCGUUACAGCAAACAAUGCAAUUAUCACAACACAGGUUGUAAUAUGGCUUUUUUUUCUGGCUUGGCUUCCCCAGUGAUUUUACUCACGCACCGCUACUGCAGCAAACACAUUCCCCACAUGCUAGGAAUGUCUUUCCCCCAACGUUAUAAUGAAAAAUUACCCUUAGGACACACUCUUUUUACGCCAUUUUCCCCGGUGGGCGUUCACGGUGGUCAUAGAUUUCAGCGUGCGUUUGAAAAUCCAUAAAUGUAUAAUUAUUGUGCAAUUUAUAUCUAUAGGCUACAUUGAGGUUUUCCUUUCAUUAUUUUUGGCUAUCUGGCAUUAGUGUAUAAGCCUACAUUUUAGGGCCUAACUGUACACUCUAAAAAGAAAAGGUUCCUUGAGGAUCCUUUAGGAUAAUAUAAAGUUAAAAAAGGAACAUUUAAAGUGAAACUGCACCAUUUUUCAACUUCAUAUUCAUCAUCUCCAGCACCACCCCAACAUCAACAUACUCUAUGUGAAAAUGGUGUCUUUCUAUGUUUUGUACUAAAAAAGAUAGAGGAAGAUCCGUGUUUCCAAUUAUGUGCAUUGUGAUU